rnacentral:rRNA from 1 species
UACGUAAGUCCCGAGCGUUGUCCGGAUUUAUUGGGGGUAAAGCGAGCGCAGGUGGUUUAUUAAGUCUGGUGUAAAAGGCAGUGGCUCAACCAUUGUAUGCAUUGGAAACUGGUAGACUUGAGUGCAGGAGAGGAGAGUGGAAUUCCAUGUGUAGCGGUGAAAUGCGUAGAUAUAUGGAGGAACACCGGUGGCGAAAGCGGCUCUCUGGCCUGUAACUGACACUGAGGCUCGAAAGCGUGGGGAGCAAACAGG